rnacentral:rRNA from 1 species
CAAUAGCGUAUAUUAAAGUUGUUGCGGCUAAAAAGCUCGUAGUUGGAUUUCUGUCGAGGACUGGCGGUCCGCACUCUGUGCGUGCAUCAGCUCUGGUCUCGGCAUCCUCUCGGAAAACGCGUCUGCGCUUAAUUGCGUGGUGCGGAGUUCGAGACUUUUACUUUGAGGAAAUUAGAGUGUUCAUGGCAGGCAAUCGCCCUGAAUACGUUAGCAUGGAAUAAUAAGAUAGGAUCUCGAUUCUAUUUUGUUGGUUUCUAGGAUUGAUAUAAUGAUUAAUAGGGACAAUUGGGGGCCUUCGUACUAACGUGUCAGAGGUGGAAUUCUUGGAUUACGUUAUGACGAACUACUGCGAAAGCAUUGGCCAAGGAUGUUUUCAUUGA